rnacentral:rRNA from 1 species
AUUGAACGCUAGCGGGAUGCCUUACACAUGCAAGUCGAACGGAGUGGCGAACGGGUGAGUAAUGUAUCGGAACGUGCCUAGUAGCGGGGGAUAACUACGCGAAAGCGUAGCUAAUACCGCAUACUAUCUGACCGGCCGAUAUCGGAUCAGCUAGUUGGUGGGGUAACGGCGCACCAAGGCAACGAUCCGUAGCUGGUUUGAGAGGAUGACCAGCCAAACUGGGACUGAGACACGGUCCAGACUCCUACGGGAGGCAGCAGUGGGGAAUUUUUGACAAUGGGAGAAACCCUGAUCCAGCCAUCCCGCGGGUGCGAUGAAGGGCUUCGGGUUGUAAAGCACUUUAGGAAGGAAAGCGUUACCUACAGAAUAAGCACCGGCUAACUACGUGCCAGCAGCCGCGGUAAUAC